GUUAACAAACACACUUCAAAUUGGUUUUUCUCUCUCUUCUCUCUCUCGCAUAUUUGAGAGAGAGAAACCGUUUGAUGUUCUGCCGUCCGGUAGAAAUCCGGUUUAUUUUCGACAUCCAUCGGCUCUUUCAUCGUUGGUUGGUUGGCUUUGUGUCUAGCAUUGUCCGUAUCUUUUGCGGUGAUGACUAGCUUUCUUCCGGCAUAGGUGGCUCCGAUUAGCACCUUUGGCCAGCUCUAUUUCUGGCAUAGGUGGCUUCGAUUAGCACCUAUGACUGGCUCUGCUUCCGUAUUCUCGGUUUCGAGAUUGUCCGGCUCUAUCUCCGAUGAUUCCACUUCUCUCCGAUGGUGUUUGGUCCAUAUUUUUCUUCUUCCUUGUCUCUUUUGUUUCAAUUUGCUUUGGUUUGCUUUGCUUUGAAUUUUUUUUACCUCUUUCUUUUGAUCUGAGAUUGUUAUUCAUUAGCCUCUCUUGUAUAAGGGACUGAUUUCGAUCUUUAUGCUUACCGGAUUUUAUUUUUGAAGAUCGACUUGCGGUACUGGUUUGAUGUGUUUCUUUGUGCCUUUGGUUUGAGGAUGAAGAAAUUGGAACUGGCACUUUUCUUUUGCCAAGGUUAAUUGGAGUGAUGGACAUUUUAGUUUUUAGGUUCUAACGGUGAUGCCUCUAAGUUCAUUUUUGAGAUGUCUCGAUGAAAGAUUUUGUUGGAGAAUCGAAGAGGAAGUUCUUCUUGGAGUCUUAAACCCUUGCAUUAAGAACAAGAUCAACUUACCAGUGAUAAAUUUAUCAUUACAUUGUCUCAUGUACGUUCUUGUUUUUCGUAACAAAUAAAGCUAUGAAAAGUAAAAUUAGG